rnacentral:rRNA from 1 species
GAUGAACGCUAGCGGCAGGCUUAAUACAUGCAAGUCGAGGGGUAGCAAGAUUGUAGCAAUACAAUUGUUGACGACCGGCAAACGGGUGCGGAACACGUACACAACCUUCCUACAAGUGGGGAAUAGCCCAGAGAAAUUUGGAUUAAUACCCCGUAACAUAGCGAUGUGGCAUCACAUUGCUAUUAUAGCUUCGGCGCUUGUUGAUGGGUGUGCGGCUGAUUAGAUAGUUGGCGGGGUAACUGCCCACCAAGUCUACGAUCAGUAGCUGAUGUGAGAGCAUGAUCAGCAACACUGGCACUGCGACACGGGCCCGACUCCUACGGGAGGCAGCAGUAAGGAAUAUUGGACAAUGGACGCAAGUCUGAUCCAGCCAUGCCGCGUGAAGGAUUAAGGUCCUCUGGAUUGUAAACUUCUUUUAUAAGGGACGAAAAAAGGCCUUUCUAGAUCGUCUGACGGUACCUUAUGAAUAAGCACCGGCUAACUCCGUGCCAGCCGCCGCAGUAAUAC